rnacentral:rRNA from 1 species
GACGAACGCUGGCGGCGUGCUUAACACAUGCAAGUCGAACGAUGAACUUGGAGCUUGCUCUGGGGGAUUAGUGGCGAACGGGUGAGUAACACGUGAGUAACCUGCCCUGGACUCUGGGAUAACUUCGAGAAAUCGGAGCUAAUACCGGAUAGGACCUUGCCCGCAUGGUGUGGGGUGGAAAGUUUUUCGGUUUGGGAUGGACUCGCGGCCUAUCAGCUUGUUGGUGAGGUAAUGGCUCACCAAGGCGUCGACGGGUAGCCGGACUGAGAGGGUGAACGGCAACACUGGGACUGAGACACGGCCCAGACUCCUACGGGAGGAAGCAGUGGGGAAUAUUGCACAAUGGGCGCAAGCCUGAUGCAGCAACGCCGCGUGCGGGAUGACGGCCUUCGGGUUGUAAACCGCUUUUAGUAGGGAAGAAGCCUUCGGGUGACGGUACCUGCAGAAAAAGGACCGGCUAACUACGUGCCAGCCGCCGCCGUAACAC